UUAUCCGGAUUACUGGGUGUAAAGGGAGCGUAGACGGCUCUGCAAGUCUGGAGUGAAAACCCGGGGCUCAACCCUGGGACUGCUUUGGAAACUGUGGAGCUUGAGUACCGGAGGGGUAAGCGGAAUUCCUAGUGUAGCGGUGAAAUGCGUAGAUAUUAGGAGGAACACCAGUGGCGAAGGCGGCUUACUGGACGGUAACUGACGUUGAGGCUCGAAAGCGUGGGGAGCAAACAGGAUUAGAUACCCCGGUAGUCCACGCCGUAAAUGAUGAAUACUAGGUGUCGGAGC
rnacentral:rRNA from 1 species